GGUUCAAUAUCAAAGAUUGGUGUUUUUGGAGAAGAAGAGAGAAGAAUGGUGUAAAUAUGAACCCACUAAUAAGAGAAGACAAAAAUCACAAUUUUUGUCUCUAUGAAUCAUCAUAGAUUUCCCACACUUAUUCUUUCAAUCAAAAGAAACAAUCAUUUAAAUAAGUGAUGGGAAUUGGGUUUUUAUGGUUUGAUUCAAAUCAAGUAGGAAAUUUGAUUCGAAUCAAUCUGGACAUAAUCAGAAAGAGAUCAUUUUUAAAGCAAAUGGUUUGAAUCAUUAUUUGCACUUGAUUCGAAUUAAAUGGGGUUAUGAUUCGAAUCAUGUUCAAUUUUUG
rnacentral:lncRNA from 1 species